rnacentral:lncRNA from 1 species
AAAAAGGUAUAUAUACUUAACUUAAAUCUAGAGAGAGCAAGUGUAGCCAGGUGGUGGAGUCUUUCCACAGGUAACAAGGAGCUGAAGAGCAAGAGGGACAAAGAUUUUUAGGUUAAGAAGCUUGACUUUAAGUGUUGUACAAAGGCAAGCAGCAGCUUCAAGUUCAACAAGUCCAUGUAAAAUUGGACAACAUUCAUUGACAGCAGGGUCACCAAUUCCAAUAUGAACUAGACCACCAAGAAGAUCUACACAAGCUCCAAGUUUUAGUGUGUCAAUUGGGCAUGUUGCCUUUGUUGUUGGUGGUGGAGGGCAUGGUUUUCCUUUAGGGGAUGGUGUAAUAACUGGUGGAACUGUCACGGGUGGAAUUCCGAUAGGUGGCAAGUUAAUAGGAGGUUUUACAAUAGGUGGUAAACCAAUUGGUGGCUUCAGAACUGGUGGAACUGUCACUGGUGGAAUUCCGAUAGGUGGCUUAAUAACGGGUGGAACGACGGGCGGCAAGUUGAUGGGAGGUUUUACAACUGGUGGAACUGUAACUGGUGGAAUUCCGAUAGGUGGCUUAAUAACUGGUGGAACAACUGGUGGCAAGUUGAUGGGAGGUUUUACAACUGGUGGAACUGUCACUGGUGGAAUUCCGAUGGGCGGCUUAAUAACUGGUGGAACAACAGGUGGCAAGUUGAUAGGUGGUUUUACAAUCGGUGGAAUUCCAAUGGGUGGCAAGUUGAUAGGGGGUUUAAUACUUGGAGAGGGAGUUUUGGGUUUUUUGGGUUUGUGAGAGGGUUUUCCACAAUAUCCACAACCAAGAAUGGGAGUGAAUGAAGAAAGGAAAAGCAUGGAAAUGAAAAGAAGACAUGUUAUUUUAGAUGACUCCAUUUUCCUAUGAGGAAAGAGGGAAUAGGUUGAGAUUUUGGUACAAAGAGUAUGGUGUUAUAUAGAUAUGAAAGUGAAUUGAUGAUUG